UACGUAGGGGCCUAGCGUUGUCCGGAUUUAUUGGGCGUAAAGAGCUCGUAGGCGGUUCGGCAAGUCGGAUGUGAAAUCUCCACGCUCAACGUGGAGGGGCCAUUCGAAACUGCCGUGACUCGAGUCCGGUAGGGGAGUGUGGAAUUCCCGGUGUAGCGGUGAAAUGCGCAGAUAUCUGGAGGAACACCGGUGGCGAAGGCGGCAUCCUGGACCGGCAUUGACGCUGAGGCGCGAAAGCCAGGGGAGCAAACGGG
rnacentral:rRNA from 1 species